rnacentral:rRNA from 1 species
CAGCAGCCGCGGGAAUACGAAGGGUGCAAGCGUUACUCGGAAUUACUGGGCGUAAAGCGUGCGUAGGUGGUGGUUUAAGUCCGUUGUGAAAGCCCUGGGCUCAACCUGGGAAUUGCAGUGGAUACUGGGUCACUAGAGUGUGGUAGAGGAUAGUGGAAUUUCCGGUGUAGCAGUGAAAUCCGUAGAGAUCGGAAGGAACAUCUGUGGCGAAGGCGACUAUCUGGGCCAACACUGACACUGAGGCACGAAAGCGUGGGGAGCAAACAGGAUUAGAUACCCCAGUAGUCCCUGUCUCUUAUAC